GCCUACGGGCGGCAGCAGUGAGGAAUCUUGCCCAAUGGGGGAAACCCUGAGGCAGCGACACCGCGUGCGGGAUGAAGGCCUUCGGGUCGUAAACCGCUUUUCUGGGGGACGAGUAAGGACGGUACUCCAGGAAUAAGUCCCGGCUAACUACGUGCCAGCAGCCGCGGUAAAACGUAGGGGGCGAGCGUUAUCCGGAAUCACUGGGCGUAAAGGGCGUCUAGGCGGCAGCCUAAGUCCCGUGUGAAAGCUCCCGGCUCAACUGGGAGAGGGCAUGGGAGACUGGGCAGCUAGAGACUCGGAGGGGGGUGUGGAAUUCCCGGUGGAGUGGUGGAAUGCGUUGAGAUCGGGAGGAACACCAGUAGCGAAGGCGGCACCCUGGCCGAGAUCUGACGCUGAAGCGCGAGAGCGUGGGGAGCGAACGGGAUUAGAUACCCCGGUAGUCCACGCCGUAAACGAUGACAACUAGGUGUUGGGUGUCCAAGGAUGCUCAGUACCGCAGCAAACGCGAUAA
rnacentral:rRNA from 1 species